rnacentral:rRNA from 1 species
CCUUCGGGUUGUAAAGCACUUUCAUAAGGAAGAAGUUGGUAUCGCUAAUAUCGAUAUUAAUUGACGUUACUUAUAAAAGAAGCACCGGCUAACUCCGUGCCAGCAGCCGCGGUAAUACGGGGGGUGCUAGCGUUAAUCGGAAUUACUGGGCGUAAAGCGUGCGCAGGUGGUUUAUUAAGUCAGGUGUGAAAUCCCUAAGCUUAACUUAGGAACUGCACUUGAAACUGAUAGGCUAGAGUUUCGUAGAGGGGGGUAGAAUUCCAGGUGUAGCGGUGAAAUGCGUAGAGAUCUGGAGGAAUACCGGUGGCGAAGGCGGCCCCCUGGACGAAAACUGACACUCAGGUACGAAAGCAUGGGGAGCAAACAGGAUUAGAUACCCUGGUAGUCCAUGCCGUAAACGAUGUCGAUUUGAAGGUUGUGGUCUUUGAACUGUAACUUUCGGAGCUAACGUGUUAAAUCGACCGCCUGGGGAGUACGACCGCAAGGUUAAAACUCAAAUGAAUUGACGGGGGCCCGCACAAGCGGUGGAGCAUGUGGUUUAAUUCGAUGCAACACGAAGAACCUUACCUACUCUUGACAUCCAAAGAACUAUUUAGAAAUAAAUGGGUGCCUUCGGGAACUUUGAGACAGGUGCUGCAUGGCUGUCGUCAGCUCGUGUUGUGAAAUGUUGGGUUAAGUCCCGCAACGAGCGCAACCCUUAUCCUUUGUUGCCAGCGAGUUAAGUCGGGAACUCAAAGGAGACUGCCGGUGAUAAACCGGAGGAAGGUGAGGA